rnacentral:rRNA from 1 species
CGACCGGCGCACGGGUGAGUAACACGUAUCCAACCUGCCUCAUACUCGGGGAUAGCCUUUCGAAAGAAAGAUUAAUAUCCGAUAGCAUAUAUUUCCCGCAUGGGUUUUAUAUUAAAGAAAUUCGGUAUGAGAUGGGGAUGCGUUCCAUUAGUUUGUUGGGGGGGUAACGGCCCACCAAGGCGACGAUCAGUAGCCGACCUGAGAGGGUGACCGGCCACAUUGGGACUGAGACACGGCCCAG